rnacentral:rRNA from 1 species
UACAGAGGGUGCAAGCGUUAAUCGGAAUUACUGGGCGUAAAGCGCACGUAGGCGGUUUUAUAAGUCAGAUGUGAAAGCCCCGGGCUCAACCUGGGAAUUGCAUUUGAAACUGGGGAACUAGAGUGUGUGAGAGGGGGGUAGAAUUCCAAGUGUAGCGGUGAAAUGCGUAGAGAUUUGGAGGAAUACCAGUGGCGAAGGCGGCCCCCUGGCACAACACUGACGCUCAGGUGCGAAAGCGUGGGGAGCAAACAGG